GUAUCAGCUCACUUCAACUGAUGGACAGUGUCGGAAUAUAAAACAACAUAUUUGCAUUCUAUUUAAUACCUAAUGGUAUAUAAAUUGCAUACAGUACAACAAGAAUAGUAAAUAUAUUCAUGUAUAAAAGUCAUUAUUGGAAAUCCACGACGACCUUCAUCGAGGUUCAAAUGUCAAUAAAUUUUUAUAAACACUUUGAUAGGACACUUCAGGCGAACUAGCAGCUAAACUGAACCUGACAAUCUCACAUGUAGUACAUCCAAAAUAUUUCUCCCAUUAAAUUGGCCCAAAACAUUAAUGUUUUUCUUGUUCGCAUUUACUCGACUAUAUUCAUAUAUAAAUCAGCAUCAAACCAUCAACAAAGUUUUGCAAAUUUGCUGACCUCAGUUAUAAACGCAGACCUCCUACUUAUGCCCCGUUUACACUACGCUCAAUUUUUGGUACGGCACGGAUAAAACUGGUACCCGUACCACUUUUUU